rnacentral:lncRNA from 1 species
UGCGGUUUCAAGAUAUAAGAUUAACUGCCUGGCGUAAGACGGAAUACAUGGUAUUGUAACUUCAUUAAAAGUGAUGCAAGAUUUGAUAAAAUUGAGAUUAUUUUUCUUCUCUCUCAAAGCUCUGGUUGCUAGAAGAUUGCUGGAAUGAACAAGGAUCUCCUGCAAAUCAUUCAUGCUACUGAAAGCUCCACGACACUCAACCAAGAAUGUCAAAUGGCGAUCUAA